rnacentral:rRNA from 1 species
AUGAAGCGGCAACCGUUCAUGUCCACGUUCGUGCUGAACAAGAUGUGUGAGCUCAUCUCUAGUGGAGUUAGGACUGACAAGGGCUUCAAGGAGGUGCAUUUGAACACCGUUGCGAAGCAGGUGUUCGAGUUUUGUGGGCAAGAGGUGUCUGCCACUCAGGUGUUCAACCACCUGAGGAAGUGGAGAAGUCGAUGGAUCCAACUGUCCAAGCUGAGAGACCUUAGCGGCGCCUCAUGGGAUGAGAACACUUACUCCAUAGUUCUGGAGGCAGAGCACUACGCCGGCCAUGUCGCGGACCACCCAAGGGACGCUGAGUUCCUCAACACACCCAUCCAUAACUACAACCAGAUGCAACACAUUUUCUCCUUCGGGCUGGCAACUGGGAAGCAUGCCAUGGGCUCGGGGGAGCCUCUUGGUUCUCCCACGCCCGACUUCCCUGGGACCCCGGACGUCGAGAUCCUUGAUGGCCCUAGCAAGCCCGCUGUGAAGCCCUUUGACAAGCCAUUUGACCCCGUUGAUAGGAAGGGGAAGAGAGGAGGCCUGAUGGAGGAGGAGAUCAAUGUCUUCUGCAGCAUGAUUGAGGCGGUGAAGGAGGUGGCAACAACCAUCAGGGAGUGCAAGCCCCUCGACGUCCACCCUGACCUGUAUGGCGCUGUCAUGACCCAGGGUGGCUUCAGCAAUGAGGCUCUCAUGGCAGCUCUCAGCCACCUGCUUGACAACAAGGCCCGGGGUGUUGGGUUCGUUGCCAUGGCCGACGUUCACAGGGUGCUGUGGCUCAGGAGCUGGCUGGGCAAGCACUACUACUAG